GCUUGUCUCAAAGAUUAAGCCAUGCAUGUCUAAGUACAAGCCUCAGUAAGGUGAAACCGCGAAUGGCUCAUUAAAUCACACCUAAUCUACUGGAAAGUUACUAGUUACUUGGAUAACUGAGGUAAUUCUUGAGCUAAUACAUGCGAAAAAUCUCGACUCACGGAGAGAUGCUUUUAUUAGAUCAAAACCAAACGGCUUCGGCCGUCUCAUUGGUGACUCUGAAUAACUGCUCGAAUCGCAUGGCUUCACGCCGGCGAUGGUUCAUUCAAAUUUCUGCCCUAUCAGCUUUCGAUGGUAGGAUCGAGGCCUACCAUGGCGUUUACGGGUAACGGAGAAUUAGGGUUCGAUUCCGGAGAGGGAGCCUGAGAGAUGGCUACCACAUCCAAGGAAGGCAGCAGG
rnacentral:rRNA from 1 species